GUCUUAUGAUGGACACAGAACUUUAUCGUAAAAUUAGGUUAUUGCACCAGCUGAAGUAUUACUAGAUUGAGUAUACUCUGUCAAGAGCAUCUGGAAUUUCCAGUUUAUGACAAACUGUAUAACAGGUAAAAAUGUCCAGCACGUUAACUCCUACAACUAGUUAAAUUUGCAAAUGAUAACUUGAGAAUAAGAGGCAAACUGCAGCAUAUUAAACUCCUUAAACCUUCUUUUUUUUGAACAGCAGUUCUUCUAUUAAAAAUCCAAAAGGAUAAGACAGCCCAUCUCAGGUGGGACAUUACAUGGAGGAAUAAAAAUCAAAGACUCGCUUCUACUUUUGCUAGCUAUCAAGUGGGCACAACUAUUCGCUUUAAGAGAGCCAAAAUAUAUAUCAUCAGUAAUAGCUUGAAUAGACCAAUUCUUGUGAUUAGAUGCAGCCUGGAGUAGAUGAACGAGCACUUCACAGUCAGUUUCAAUUGUAGCUCUCUGUAAGCCCCAAGCUCUGGCCAUCAACACCGCAAUCUCAACAGCCCACGCUUCCGCCGCCAAAGCCGAAGAGACCUUUAUUCUCCCAUGAUUGAUAUCCACUUUCAAAAUGAUUUUGUAUCCGAAAUUACAUACGCUAAUUGGGCGGAAUUGGGAUACAGUUUCAGGAACAAGAACAAUGUUGGUUUUGUUCAACUUCUCAAUGUUUGCAAAGCCCUCAAAGAAAUCCUUUACCAUAGAGCAAAUCGAGUCCUUAACUUGGUCCCAAUAAGUACUUAGGAUUUCCUCCCUCUUAUGUGAAGACUGGUACUUAAGCUAGGCAUGGAAAAACUUUUGAUAUGCUCUGCUACUGAUAUUAAACUUUUAGUUGGCACAACAAUAAGACAUUAGCUCAAUUGAAAAAAGUAUGCAUUAUAUCAUUUAAGGGCAAAAGUUUAAUUAGUUCAAAUGAAAAAAAUAAAAAAUUGAAAGCUGUAGCAUCCAUUGAACAGUUCUAAUACAAAGUAGCAUACAUAUGGAAGCCAAGUUUCUAAAGGGGGUAGCCACCCAGUUUUUGCCAAAGAGAAGUAGAAGAAAGUGUUGAUAUCUUAAUUUUCACAAAUUCAUAUACACGUGGGGUUGUAACAGGAAGUUAGUCACAAAUUUGAACUUCCUGUAACAGGAAGUGUUGAUCAAUGGAAUGAGAGUCACAAAUUCCUGUAAUUUUCUAAUUUGAAUGCCCUCCAGGAUAUCUUAAUUUUGUGUUUACAAUGGGAAAAGAGAAGCAUCUCAUAGCAAUUUAAUGUUUGAUUUCUCAGUUGUAUCUUCACAUAAAAUUGCAUAUCUUGGAUUGUUUUAUAAUCCUGAUUUUAUGAAACUAGAAACACAUGGUUAGGGUUCUACCCAAAAACCCCCCAAUUUCACAAGCCCCUUUUUUUUUCUCUUGUUUGAACAAGUUAUAGUGAAAUGAAAGGUUAGAAUUGAAAACACUCUAAUAUAUAGACGAGGAGAGAGAGACCUUGGCGACUGUGGAUUUGUCGUCGGUGGUGGGUCGAUUUUCAGGGUUGGUCGCCGGAGGUGGAACCGGUGGUGGUGGUCGCCGGAGGUAGAGGUGAGGCUGGUGGUCGGGCGCCGAUGUCUCCCUCCUCCUCUCUCUCUCUCUCUCUCUCUCUCUCCGUGCUCCACUGCAGAUCUGUUUUGGAUCUCUCUCUCUCUCCGUGCUCCACUGC